UAAUUGCUGCUGCUCUUUUCUCACUUGGCCUCUGUCGGGUUCAGGGUCUGCAUGGAGAGUUCAACUGAAGUGAAUCAGUAGCAGCUCUACUCUGCGACUCAUAUCUCAGUCUACUUUGAAAGAGUCUACUUCUUCUGCAAAUGGAGAGUUCAACACAACAAAGACACGACUGUUGCUGUCAGUCAUCCAGCUGGAGACAGGACUCACUUCCAAAGCAAAGAAAGGAUUUUCUGCAGAACUCCCGAUGCAAACCCCAAAGACAGCUAACCCCUUCUUCAGGACCAAGAACAGGUCAACUCCAGUCACUGCCCUUUGUCACCUGGCUACUCACUGGCGAGUCACUCAUGAACCAGAGACUCCCAAAACCCUCCCACUAACCACAUACACACACGUGUCGCAUGCUCAGCCGUCCUGGUAGGGGAUCUCUCUUUGACUUGGCCUACCUAAAGGUUUCUCCUUUUUCCCCUAAUAAGGGUUUUAAAGAGUUUUUCCUUUAAUGCUUGGAGAGUCUAAGGCUGAUGAUGCAAGACACACAAAUGUGUAAUAGUCUGAUGGGACCCAAAGUUGAGCUUUGUUUUCAUGUUAGUUUUAUGCUUUGAUAUUUUCAUGAACCUAUAAGAUUGUAAUAAAAUGUAAAUGAAGUGAC